rnacentral:rRNA from 1 species
UACGAAGGGUGCAAGCGUUACUCGGAAUUACUGGGCGUAAAGCGUGCGUAGGUGGUUUGUUAAGUCUGUUGUGAAAGCCCCGGGCUCAACCUGGGAAUGGCAAUGGAUACUGGCAGGCUAGAGUGCGGUAGAGGGUAGUGGAAUUCCCGGUGUAGCGGUGAAAUGCGUAGAGAUCGGGAGGAACACCAGUGGCGAAGGCGGCCUGCUGGGCUAUGGCUGACACUGAGGCGCGAAAGCGUGGGGAGCAAACAGG